UACGUAGGUGACAAGCGUUGUCCGGAUUUACUGGGCGUAAAGGGCGCGUAGGCGGCUCGGCACGUCCGUUGUGAAAUCGCCCGGCUCAACUGGGCGGGGUCAGCGGAUACGGCCGAGCUUGAGCAAGCUAGGGGGCAAUGGAAUUCCCGGUGUAGUGGUGGAAUGCGUAGAUAUCGGGAGGAACACCAGUGGCGAAGGCGGUUGCCUGGGGCUUUGCUGACGCUGAUGCGCGAAAGCGUGGGGAGCGAUCCGG
rnacentral:rRNA from 1 species